AGAGACUGGUAGAGUGAGGGAGUAUGGAGGGAUGGAGAGACUGGUAGAGUGAGGGAGUAUGGAGGGAUGGAGAGACUGGUAGAGUGAGGGAGUAGGGAGGGAUGGAGAGACUGGUAGAGUGAGGGAGUAGGGAGGGAUGGAGAGACUGGUAGAGUGAGGGAGUAGGGAGAGAUGGCGAGGGGUAGGUUGUGGGACCAGACAUUGUGACAUAAUAAAGACACUCUUGGAGGGGAGAUGAGAGUUUGAAAGAGAGAGACCGACUGAGAAUUUGAAAGAGAGAGACGGAGAUAAAGAGAUAGAGGGGGGAGAAUGAGAGAGAGAGGGGGGAGAGAGAUAAAUCAAAUCAAAUUGAAUCAAACGGUAUAUGUCACAUGCGACGAAUACAACAGGUGCAGAACUUACCGUUAUAUUUAUAUAAUAUACUUACAAGCACUUCAUCAAGAAAUAUAGUUAAUAAAAUAUUUACUAAAUCAAAUAAAGUUAAAACAAACGAUUCAAUCAAAUGGUAGCACAAUAAAUGUACAUUGUAAAUAGUCAGAUUGGCCAUUCGAUUAGCUUAGUUGUUCAGCAGUCUUAUAGCUUGAUGGUAGAAGCUGUUGAGGAGCGUCUUGGUCCUAGACUUGGUGCUCCGGUACUGCUUGCCGUGCGGUAGCAGAGAGAACAGUCUGUGACUUGUAUGACUGGAGUCUUUCACAGUUUUUGGGCCUUCAUCUGACACCGCCUAGUAUAUAGGUCCAGGAUGUUAGGAAGCUUGGCCCCAGUGAUGUACUGGGCCGUUCGCACUAACCUCUGUACCAGGCGGUAAUACAACCGGUCAGAAUGCUCUCGAUGGUGUUGUCGUGCACUCUUUACAACUGUCGUGGUGUGUUUGGACCAUGAUAAUUUGUUGGUGAUGUGAACACACCACCUGGGGGAGGUGCGUCAUGAAAGUACAGAAUCCAGUUGCAGAGGGAGAUGUUUAGUCCCAGGGUCCUUAGCGUAAUGAUGAGCUUCGUGGGCACUACGGUGUUGAACGCUGAGCUGUAGUCAAUGACCAGCAUUCUCACAUAGGUGUUCCUUUUGUCCAGGUGGGAAAGGGCAGUGUGGAGUGCGAUUAAGAUUGCGUCAUUUGUGGUUCUGUUGGGGCGGUAUGCGAAUUGGAGUGGGUCUAGGGUUUCUGGCAUGAUGGUAUUGAUGUGAGGCAUGACCAGCCUUUCAAAUCACUUCAUGGCUACAUAUGUGAGUGCUACGGGGCGGUAAUCAUUUAGGCAGGUUACCUUCACUAUCUUGGGCACAGGGACUAUGGUGGUCUGUUUGAAACAUGUAGGUAUUACAGACUCGGUCAGGAGAGGUUGAAAUGUCAGUGAAGACAUGCAUUGAGUACACGUCCUGGUAAUCCGUCUGGCCCCGCAGCUUUGUGAAUGUUGACCUGUUUAAAGGUCUUGCUCACAUCGACUAUGGAGAGCGGGAUCACACAGUCGUCCCGAACAGCAAUUAACUCUUCUGGUAGGUUCGCUGGGCAGCUCCCGGCUGGUUUUCCCAUGUAAUCCGUAGUAGUUUUAAAGCCCGGCCACAUCUGACGAGCGUCAGAAACGGUGUAGUAGGAUUUAAACUUAAUCCUGUAUUUACGCUUUGCCUGUUUGAUGGUUUAUCUGAGGCCAUAGCGGGAUUUCUUAUAAGUGUCCGGAUUAGUUUCCUUGAAAGUUGAAGCUCUAGCCUUUACCUCGGGGUGGAUGUUGCCUGCAAUCCAUGGCUUCUGGUUGGGGAAUGUACGUACGGUCACUGUGGGGACGAGGUCGUCGAUGCACUUAUUGAUGAAGCCGGUGACUGAUGUGAUAUACUCCUCAACGCCAUCGGAAGAAUCCCGGAACUUAUUCCAGUCUAUGCUAGCAAAAGGUUCCUGUAGCGUAGCAUUCGCGUCAUCUGACCACUUCCGUAUUGAGCGAGUCACUGGUGUACUACCUGCUUUAGUUUUUGCUUGUAAGCAGGAAUCAGGAGGAUAGAAUUAUGGUCAGAUUUGCCAAAUGGGGGGAGAGGGAGAGCUUUGUAUGCGUCUCUGUGUGUGGAGUAAAGGUGGUCUACAGUUUUUUUAUUUUCUGGUUACACAUGUGACAUGCUGGUAGAAAUGAGGUAAAACUGAUUUAAGUUUGCCUGCAUUAACGUCCCCGGCCACUAGGAGCGCCACUUCUGGAUGAGCAUUUUCUUGUUUGCUUAUGGCCUUAUACAGCUGGUUGAGUGUGGUCUUAGUGCCAGCAUCGGACUGUGGUGGUAUGUAGACAGCUACAAAAAAUACAGAUGAAAACUCUCUAGGUAGAUAGUGUGGUCUACAGCUUAUCAUGAGAUACUCUACCUCAGGCGAGAAAAACCUCUAGACUUCCUUAGAUAUUGUGCACCAGCUGUUGUUUACAAACAUACAAAGGCCGCAACCCUGUGUCUUACCAGAGGUUGCUGAUGUAGUGUAUAACCCACUGCCAGCUGUAUGUUCUUAAUGUCGAUGUUACAGUUUUUAAUGUCCCGUCGGUAGGAUAGUCUUUCUCGUAGAUUGUCCAGUUUGAUAUCCAAUGAUUGAACAUUGUCAAAUAAUAUGGAGGGUAGUGGUGGUUUACUCACUCGCCAAACAAUUCUCACAAGGCACCCAGACCUCGGCCCAGAGCUCAGAGAGAGAGAGAGAGAGAUGAGAGAUGAGAGAGAAAGAUGAGAGAUGAGAGAGAGAGAGAGAUAGAGAGAGGGAGAGAGAGAAACACACAGAGAGAGAGAGAGAGAGAGAGAGAGAAACAUAGAGAGAUAUAUACCUUAAUCCCCCAGCUGUCAGGGAGUUAAUAGAGCGUUCACCGGGUCAGAUACGACAUACUGAUCAAAUCAGAGUGUGUGGGCUUGCUUGCCUCCAUCCGUGUAUGAGCUCAAAGUCUAAACAAAAAAUGACAGUUGCCACUCGUUUACCAAAACUGUCCACAAAAAAGACAGCUGUGGUGCAGAAUGAACCUUCUGAGAAUAUAUUAGGCUUUUAAGUCCCCCUUUAUCUUCACAUUCUGCUUUUUAAACCCCUUUCUUAGACAUUCUGACAUUAUAAUGGUGAUGAUAGUAAUGGUGAUGAUAGGGGAGGAUAGUAAUGGUCUCUUAUGGGGGAGGAUAGUAAUGGUCUCUUAUGGAGCAGGAUAGUAAUGGUCUCUUAUGGAGGAGGAUAGUAAUGGUCUCUUUUGGGGGAGGAUAUAAUGGUCUCUUAUGGAGGAGGAUAGUAUCUCUUAUGGGGGAGGAUAGUAAUGGUCUCUAAUGGGGAGGAUAGUAAUGGUCUCUUAUGGGGAGGAUAGUAAUGGUCUCUUAUAGGGGAGGAUAGUAAUGGCAGGGAUAGUAAUGGUGAUGAUAGUAAUGGUGAUGAUAGGGGAGGAUAGUAAUGGUGAUGAUGUAAUGGUCUCUUAUGGGGAGGAUAGUAAUGGUCUCUAAUGGGGAGGAUAGUAAUGGUCUCUUAUAGGGAAGGAUAGUAAUGGUCUCUUAUGGGGGAGGAUAGUAAUGGUCUCUAAUGGGGAGGAUAGUAAUGGUCUCUAAUGGGGGAGGAUAGUAAUGGUCUCUUAUAGGGGAGGAUAGUAAUGGUCUGUUAUGGGGGAGGAUAGUAAUGGUCUCUAAUGGGGGAGGAUAGUAAUGGUCUCUUAUAGGGAAGGAUAGUAAUGGUUUCUUAUGGAGGAGGAUAGUAAUGGUGAGGAUAGUAAUGCUGAUGAUAGGGGAGGAUAGUAAUGGUCUCUUAUGGGGGAGGAUAGUAAUGGUCUCUUAUGGAGGAGGAUAGUAAUGGUGAGGAUAGUAAUGGUCCCUUAUAGGGGAGGAUAGUAAUGGUAUCUUAUGGAGGAGGAUAGUAAUGGUCUCUUUUGGAGGAGGAUAGUAAUGGUCUCUUAUAGGGGAGGAUAGUAAUGGUCUCUUACAGGGGGGGAUAGUAAUGGUCUCUUAUGGAGGAGGAUAGUAAUGGUGAGGAUAGGAAUGGUCUCUUAUAGGGAAGGAUAGUAAUGGGGAGGAUAGUAAUGGUCUCUUAUAGGGGAGGAUAGAAAUGGUCUCUGAUGGGGGAGGAUAGUAAUGGUGAUGAUAGUAAUGGUCUCUGAUGGGGGAGGAUAUUAAUGGUCUCUUAUAGGGGAGGAUAGUAAUGGUCUCUUAUAGGGGAGGAUAGUAAUGGCCUCUUAUAGGGGAGGAUAGUAAUGGUCUCUAAUGGGGGAGGAUAGUAAUGGUGAUGAUAGUAAUGGUCUCUGAUGGGGGAGGAUAGUAAUGGUCUCUUAUAGGGGAGGAUAGUAAUGGUCUCUUAUAGGGGAGGAUAGUAAUGGCCUCUUAUAGGGGAGGAUAGUAAUGGUGAUGAUGUAAUGGUCUCUUCACCUUUUAAAGAUUAUCCCUGUCCAUUUGUCUCUGUCUUUAAAUGCCACCAUAAAGGUUAAAUGAACAGGGGAACGAAACAAACAUUUGGCCAUCAGCUGACUUCAGUUUAUGUUAUGGUUGUUAUUCAUGGCACAAGUUGCAGGUAGCUACGAUACUCAUCCUCCAAAUGACUGUGAAGGUUUGAGUUGCAGGAAGAAACCUUUAAACAAAACGUUUAAAAUCACCAGACUUUAAAAUGAAGUCAAUGUUGUGAUUGGUGGGAAGUUGUAUAGUUAAAAUCGUCACAUAAGGAUUUAAUGCUUUAAGGCUGUUUAGUCUUGCUUCACACAAAACAUUCCGUACUUGAAACAUCUGAUGAUCAGUCAGAACAAUAGAGCCAAUAAUAGAGCCAGUAUGGUGCCAUAGUUUCUUGUAGCUCAAUGAUAAUUACUGGCUGUUUGAAGAAACUGAUAUCUGGUGUAUCUGCUAAAGGGCAAAGCCUCAAUAUUUCUCUUAUUUUCCCUGAAAAGCCUGAAAAAGCCAUCCUCCCUCUUUCCUCUCAUCUUCCUCUUCCUUCCUCAUCCUCCUCUUCCUCGUGCUCUUCAAAUGUCAGGCAGAAAGAGGGAUGUGACAGGUGGUUGAGGAGAGGGAGAUUGUUGAACUCCUCUCUGAUCAAAAAUCAAUCGAGAAAAGAGAAAGAGGUGUGUGUGU
ensembl:lncRNA